rnacentral:rRNA from 1 species
UGGGGAAUUUUGGACAAUGGGGGCAACCCUGAUCCAGCCAUCCCGCGUGUGCGAUGAAGGCCUUCGGGUUGUAAAGCACUUUUGGCAGGGAAGAAACAGCCUGGGAUAAUACCCCGGGCGACUGACGGUACCUGCAGAAUAAGCACCGGCUAACUACGUGCCAGCAGCCGCGGUAAUACGUAGGGUGCAAGCGUUAAUCGGAAUUACUGGGCGUAAAGCGUGCGCAGGCGGUUCGGAAAGAAAGGUGUGAAAUCCCAGGGCUUAACCUUGGAACUGCACUUUUAACUACCGAGCUAGAGUACGUCAGAGGGGGGUAGAAUUCCACGUGUAGCAGCGAAAUGCGUAGAGAUGUGGAGGAAUACCGAUGGCGAAGGCAGCCCCCUGGGAUGAUACUGACGCUCAUGCACGAAAGCGUGGGGAGCAAACAGGAUUAGAUACCCUGGUAGUCCACGCCCUAAACGAUGUCAACUAGCUGUUGGGGUUUAUUAACCUUAGUAGCGCAGCUAACGCGUGAAGUUGACCGCCUGGGGAGUACGGUCGCAAGAUUAAAAC